AAAACUUAACAAAUGCCAGUUGUCUAUAUGCCUACAGAGAGGAUUAGGAAGGAAAAAAAUGAAAGAAAAGAAAUGAGUAGCUGCUCUAUCCAAGAGCAACUAAGACCAUAAAAUUAGAAGAAGAUAUUUGCUAGAAGUUGAUCUGACUAAAGGAAAAAAAAGCUUUAAAGUUGAUACUGGGAAUUGAUAUGAUUAGAGAAAAAGCUCUGCCUGGUCAGAUGGCUGAUUGGAAGAAAUGUAAAUCUUCUGUGUCAUUAGAUUUUAAAGUCUACAUUUAUUUUACCUUUAUUUUUGCCUGUCUGUUUUCUCUGGACCUGAAAUUUCACUGAUGUAGCGAAGUACUAAGAGUAAAAUAAUGGCGCUCGGUCAACCAUGAAACAAGUAAUUAUCUUGGAGGAUUGUUUGAAGCAUUGAGAAAUUUAGGUUAGGUCAUCAAACAUAUGUCAGAGGAGGGAUUUGAACUCAGGCCAUCCUGAUUUUGGUGAUGGGCUGGUCCUCUAUCCCUUCUGCCAUAUUCUCUCUUAAAUUUUAUGUUAUUAACAUUCUUUACAAAUUAUGCCUUACUUUUCUCAUCUUUAUCCCAUUUUCUCUGUAGUGCCUGGAAUUUUAACCCAUAAAUAAUAUGAUGCCAUAUCCCCAAGGAUAAUGUAGUUUUUAUUAAUAUGGGCAUGCAAUCUAUUAAUAAAAGAUGGAUCUAGACUAACAAUAGACUUCAAGAUGUCAAAUGACUCUCCUUAUCUCCAGAAUCCUCUCCCAGUAUAUCACACCCUCCUUCAGAGGAUGGAACUCAGGACCUUCAGCUUGCUUGACUGAAGCACUGCCUACUACUUCAAAUCUUAAAGGGAAAAGAACGAAAAUAUAUUUAAAGGAACCCUUUUUGUAGAAGCAAAGAACUGGAAACUGAAGGAUGUCCAUCAACUACAGAAUACCUGAACAAGUUGUGGAAUAUGAUUAUAAUGGAGUAUUAUUGUGCCAUAAGAAAUGACAGACAAGAUAAUCACAGAAAAAAGAAUGAAGACUUCUAUGAAGUGACACAAAAUGAACAUAAGCAGAAUGUUAUACAGAGCAAGAGAAUGAUGUAUGAUCAAUUGUGAAUGAAUUAACUAUUUUCAGCAAUACAAGAAUCCAAGACAACUCUAAGGGACACAUGAUGAAAAAAAAAACAAUUAAAUGCAGAUUGAAGCAUACAAUUCUUCAUUCUAUUUAUUCC
rnacentral:lncRNA from 1 species